UACGUAGGGUGCGAGCGUUAAUCGGAAUUACUGGGCGUAAAGCGUGCGCAGGCGGUUCGUUGUGUCGGCGGUGAAAGCCCCGGGCUUAACCUGGGAAUGGCCGUUGAAACUGGCGAACUGGAGUGUGGCAGAGGGGGUGGAAUUCCGCGUGUAGCAGUGAAAUGCGUAGAGAUGCGGAGGAACACCGGUGGCGAAGGCGGCUCUCUGGGACGGUACUGACGCUGAGACGCGAAAGCGUGGGGAGCGAACAGG
rnacentral:rRNA from 1 species